rnacentral:tRNA from 1 species
GAACAAGAAGCGAUUAAUUGCAGUCAGUUUCGACCUGGCCUUAGGUAGACUAUACCCUUGCUCU